GAACUGCCCAGUCGAGGGGGAUAACAGUUGGAAACGACUGCUAAUACCGCAUACGCCCUACGGGGGAAAAGAGGGGACCUUCGGGCCUUCUGCGAUUGGAUGUACCUAGGUGGGAUUAGCUAGUAGGUGAGGUAAUGGCUCACCUAGGCGACGAUCCCUAGCUGUUCUGAGAGGAUGAUCAGCCACACUGGGACUGAGACACGGCCCAGACUCCUACGGGAGGCAGCAGUGGGGAAUAUUGCACAAUGGGCGCAAGCCUGAUGCAGCCAUGCCGCGUGUGUGAAGAAGGCCUUCGGGUUGUAAAGCACUUUCAGCGAGGAGGAAAGGUUAAGUGUUAAUAGCACUUAGCUGUGACGUUACUCGCAGAAGAAGCACCGGCUAACUUCGUGCCAGCAGCCGCGGUAAUACGAGGGGUGCAAGCGUUAAUCGGAAUUACUGGGCGUAAAGCGUACGCAGGCGGUUUGUUAAGCG
rnacentral:rRNA from 1 species